UGGCUUGAUAAGUCAGAUGUGAAUCCCCGGGCUUAACCUGGGAACUGCAUCUGAUACUGUUAGGCUAGAAUAGGUGAGAGGAAGGUAGAAUUCCAGGUGUAGCGGUGAAAUGCGUAGAGAUCUGGAGGAAUACCGAUGGCGAAGGCAGCCUUCUGGCAUCAUAUUGACACUGAGGUUCGAAAGCGUGGGUAGCAAACAGGAUUAGAUACCCUGGUAGUCCACGCCGUAAACGAUGUCUACUAGUCGUUGGGUCCCUUGAGGACUUAGUGACGCAGCUAACGCAAUAAGUAGACCGCCUGGGGAGUACGGCCGCAAGGUUAAAACUCAAAUGAAUUGACGGGGGCCCGCACAAGCGGUGGAGCAUGUGGUUUAAUUCGAUGCAACGCGAAGAACCUUACCUGGUCUUGACAUAUCUAGAAUCUUGUAGAGAUACGAGAGUGCCUUCGGGAAUUAGAAUACAGGUGCUGCAUGGCUGUCGUCAGCUCGUGUCGUGAGAUGUUGGGUUAAGUCCCGCAACGAGCGCAACCCUUGUCCUUAGUUACCAGCGGGUUAAGCCGGGAACUCUAAGGAUACUGCCAGUGACAAACUGGAGGAAGGCGGGGACGACGUCAAGUCAUCAUGGCCCUUACGACCAGGGCUACACACGUGCUACAAUGGUAGGUACAGAGGGCAGCUACACAGCGAUGUGAUGCGAAUCUUUCAAAGCCUAUCGUAGUCCAGAUUGGAGUCUGCAACUCGACUCCAUGAAGUAGGAAUCGCUAGUAAUCGCGGAUCAGAAUGCCGCGGUGAAUACGUUUCCGGGCCUUGUACACACCGCCCGUCACACCAUGGGAACCGCUACACCAGAACCGGGUUCAGUAAGUAGUAACAAGAACCCCCUAGAGUGU
rnacentral:rRNA from 1 species